UACGGGGGGAGCGAACGUUGUUCGGAAUCACUGGGCGUAAAGGGCGUGUAGGCGGUUCGGUAAGUGGAAUGUGAAAGCCCCCGGCUUACCCGGGGAACUGCAUCCCAUACUGCUGGACUUGAGUGCGGGAGAGGAUGGAGGAAUUCCUGGUGUAGCGGUGAAAUGCGUAGAUAUCAGGAGGAACACCUGUGGCGAAGGCGUCCAUCUGGCCCGUUACUGACGCUGAGGCGCGAAAGCUAGGGGAGCAAACGGG
rnacentral:rRNA from 1 species